CACGUAGGGGGCAAGCGUUGUCCGGAUUUAUUGGGCGUAAAGAGCUCGUAGGUGGUUCGGUAAGUCAGGUGUGAAACCUCCAGGCUCAACCUGGAGACGCCACUUGAUACUGCUGUGACUGGAGUCCGGUAGGGGAGCGUGGAAUUCCUGGUGUAGCGGUGAAAUGCGCAGAUAUCAGGAGGAACACCAGCGGCGAAGGCGGGUCUCUGGGCCGAUACUGACGCUGAGGAGCGAAAGCGUGGGGAGCGAACAGG
rnacentral:rRNA from 1 species